rnacentral:lncRNA from 1 species
AAAAGGUCUAGAGAAGUCAAGAUCAAGAGGUAAGUAAAAUUUCAACUACAAUGUAAGGACAAAAUUAUUUUUAUACUUAAGUUCAGUUUUAACAAUCCCUUUAUAUUAUGAUUGCUAUUAUAGUGUGAUUAGUUAUAUUCUAAAUCUUUAUAUAGUCGGCUCUGCCGCCUAAUAUAUGAUGCUAUGGUCGGCUCUGUCGCCUAAUAUGUGAUGCUAUGGUCGGCUUUGCCGUCUAAUAUGUGAUGUCAUGGUCGGCUCUGCCGCCUAAUAUGUGAUACUUAUACUUAAUUAUGCUAUGGUCGGCUAUGUCGCCUAUACUAAAGACUCUUGUCUUUAAAUAAUGUUGUGUGUUGAUUUUGUUAUGCAUCGAGGAAUUUCAAAUGUGAUAAGUUGCAUUGGAUGCAUGCAUAUCAUGGACUACAUUAUGAAGAAGACGUUUCAGAAAAUGAAUUUAUGAAAAAUGGGUGAUUGUACUAUCAGGUGGCAAAACUCUACGGAGGGCAAGCCCUCAAAGCUAAAUUGAAAGAAAUCUUUUGGGGACGGCGAUACGUAAUGCCCAAAAGUUUAACUAAUGAGGCCCAAGGGCAUAAUGUUUAAAGAGUAAAAGUGCCAGCCUUGUAGUGCAACAUACCUAGAGCCCAAAUAAAGUUGUUUUGUAUUUUCUAAGUUUAUUUUAAGAGCUUAAUAUGGUCAUCCAUAUGCAUCAUAAUUUAUACAUGCAUCAAAGUGUUAUCUUACUGGGCAUUAGCUCACUAAGUCCUUACAUUGUAGGUAACGAUGAUUAGGACAAGCUGGCGCCGAGUCCUAACUAGGACGAAGUGCAUAUGGGCAUAACCAACCUUGGGAUUUUAUGAUGGGCUUAGCUUUGUGUUAAUAAAAAUAAGCAUCUUGGCUUUAUGUAAUAAUUAAGUUUUUAAAUAAACUAAGAAAUCUCUAAAUGACUCUUCCUUUUC